UGCAAGUCGAGCGAUGAAACACCUUCGGGUGUGAAUUAGCGGCGAACGGGUGAGGAACACGUGAAGAAUCUGCCUUCAACUCUGGGAUAACUCCGGGAAACCGGGGCUAAUACCGGAUAUGAGCCUCGAUCGCAUGAUUGGGGCUGGAAAGUUUUUCGGUUGAAGAUGACUUCGCGGCCUAUCAGCUUGUUGGUGAGGUAAUGGCUCACCAAGGCGACGACGGGUAGCCGGCCUGAGAGGGCGACCGGCCACACUGGGACUGAGACACGGCCCAGACUCCUACGGGAGGCAGCAGUGGGGAAUAUUGGGCAAUGGAGGAAACUCUGACCCAGCGACGCCGCGUGAGGGAUGAAGGCCUUCGGGUUGUAAACCUCUUUCAGUAGGGAAGAAGCGAAAGUGACGGUACCUACAGAAGAAGCACCGGCUAACUAUGUGCCAGCAGCCGCGGUAAUACAUAGGGUGCAAGCGUUGUCCGGAAUUAUUGGGCGUAAAGAGCUCGUAGGUGGUUCGAUACGUCGGAUGUGAAAAUCAGGGGCUCAACCCCUGACCUGCAUCCGAUACGGUCGAGCUAGAGUUUGGUAGGGGAGACUGGAAUUCCUGGUGUAGCGGUGGAAUGCGCAGAUAUCAGGAGGAACACCGAUGGCGAAGGCAGGUCUCUGGGCCAAUACUGACACUGAGGAGCGAAAGCGUGGGGAGCGAACAGGAUUAGAUACCCUGGUAGUCCACGCCGUAAACGGUGGGCGCUAGUUGUGCGAACCUUCCACGGUUUGUGCGACGCAGCUAACGCAUUAAGCGCCCCGCCUGGGGAGUACGAUCGCAAGAUUAAAACUCAAAGG
rnacentral:rRNA from 1 species